CAGAUCCAUAGGUGGCGGGUACCCUUACCCCCCGCUGUGGAGACCCUAUUACAGGAGGCCAUUCUGGUAGACAAGAAAUGAAUCCUAGUAAAGCUGGCUACCGAUAUAGUGGAUUUUACUACCGGUAUAUUCGGAAUGAAUACUAAGUAUGUCACAAAUAAUGUGUAAAGUGUGAACAAUCUCUGUACAGAUGGAUGAUAGUAAAUACCCUUGCUGAGAAAUCAUUUAUUCACAAAAAUGUGUCCAUUUACAUAUCCAUAUAUUUCUACUGCUGUACAAGAUUAUUUAUUUAUUAUAUACUGUGUCGAGUAUCAGUGCUGAUUACAUUCAUACUUACUUAUUCCCCGAAUGGAUUUUAUUGUUCGAGCCAUGAAAUAUAAUUAUUGGUGCUUAAAUAAAAUGUUUUGAAUUUCC